rnacentral:rRNA from 1 species
CGCGUAGGCGGGACAGCAAGUCAGAUGUGAAAUACCGAAGCUUAACUUUGGGGGUGCAUCUGAAACUGUUGUUCUUGAGUGUCGGAGAGGAAAGCGGAAUUCCCCGUGUAACGGUGAAAUGCGUAGAUAUGGGGAGGAACACCGGUGGCGAAGGCGGCUUUCUGGACGAUAACUGACGCUGAGGCGCGAAAGCGUGGGUAGCAAACAGGAUUAGAUACCCUGGUAGUCCACGCUGUAAACGAUGGAUACUAGGUGUGGGAGGUAUCGACCCCUUCCGUGCCGGAGUUAACACAAUAAGUAUCCCACCUGGGGAGUACGGCCGCAAGGCUGAA